GCCAGGUCUCCAUGCAAUUCAGCGGUGCCAACCCCGUCAGGCCCGGAAGGGAGCAGCGGUACGCAACAUGCUGUCUGUGUGUGGUAAGGCCUGGCCUC
rnacentral:SRP_RNA from 1 species